GAUGAGCGCUGGCGGCGUGCCUAAUACAUGCAAGUAGAACGCUGAAGCUUGGUGCUUGCACCGAGCGGAUGAGUUGCGAACGGGUGAGUAACGCGUAGGUAACCUGCCUCUUAGCGGGGGAUAACUAUUGGAAACGAUAGCUAAUACCGCAUAAAAGUCGACAUUGCAUGAUGUUGACUUGAAAGGUGCAAAUGCAUCACUAAGAGAUGGACCUGCGUUGUAUUAGCUAGUUGGUGAGGUAACGGCUCACCAAGGCGACGAUACAUAGCCGACCUGAGAGGGUGAUCGGCCACACUGGGACUGAGACACGGCCCAGACUCCUACGGGAGGCAGCAGUAGGGAAUCUUCGGCAAUGGGGGCAACCCUGACCGAGCAACGCCGCGUGAGUGAAGAAGGUUUUCGGAUCGUAAAGCUCUGUUGUAAGAGAAGAACGAGUGUGAGAGUGGAAAGUUCACACUGUGACG
rnacentral:rRNA from 1 species